rnacentral:tRNA from 1 species
GCCCCCAUCGUCUAGAGGCCUAGGACAGCACCCUUUCAAGGUGCAGACAGGGAUUCGAAUUCCCUUGGGGGCA